rnacentral:tRNA from 1 species
UGUGGUGUGGCUCAGUGGUGGAGCACUCGCCUAGCAUGUGCGGGACCCGGGUUUUAUCCUUAGCACCACAU